rnacentral:rRNA from 1 species
GACGAACGCUGGCGGCGUGCUUAACACAUGCAAGUCGAACGGAAAGGCCCCUUUGGGGGUACUCGAGUGGCGAACGGGUGAGUAACACGUGAGUAACCUGCCCUUGACUUCGGGAUAACUUCAGGAAACUGGGGCUAAUACCGGAUAGGAAUCCUUGCUGCAUGGUGGGGGUUGGAAAGCUUCGGCGGUUUUGGAUGGACUCGCGGCUUAUCAGCUUGUUGGUGGGGUAGUGGCUUACCAAGGCUUUGACGGGUAGCCGGCCUGAGAGGGCGACCGGCCACAUUGGGACUGAGAUACGGCCCAGACUCCUACGGGAGGCAGCAGUGGGGAAUAUUGCACAAUGGGCGGAAGCCUGAUGCAGCAACGCCGCGUGCGGGAUGACGGCCUUCGGGUUGUAAACCGCUUUCAGCAGGGGCGAAGCUUGUGGUGAUGGUACCUGCAGAAGAAGCACCGGCUAACUACGUG